rnacentral:rRNA from 1 species
UACGGGGGGAGCAAGCGUUGUUCGGAUUUACUGGGCGUAAAGGGCGCGUAGGCGGCCUCUGCAAGUCGACUGUGAAAUCUCCGGGCUUAACCCGGAAAGGUCAGCCGAUACUGCAGGGCUAGAGUGCAGAAGGGGCAACUGGAAUUCUCGGUGUAGCGGUGAAAUGCGUAGAUAUCGAGAGGAACACCUGCGGCGAAGGCGGGUUGCUGGGCUGACACUGACGCUGACAGCGCGAAAGCGUGGGGAGCAAACAGG